ensembl:snRNA Gm26151 predicted gene, 26151
AAGCACAGCUCUUUUAGAAUUUUUUCUAGUGGCUUUUCUGACCUUGGUUGGAAAAUCCAA